rnacentral:rRNA from 1 species
GUCCACGCCGUAAACGAUGGGCACUAGGUCCUUGGGGGAGCGACCCUCUGAGGGCCGGCGCAAACGCAUUAAGUGCCCCGCCUGGGGAGUACGGCCGCAAGGCUGAAACUCAAAGGAAUUGACGGGGGCCCGCACAAGCGGUGGAGCAUGUGGUUUAAUUCGACGCAACGCGAAGAACCUUACCUGGGCUUGACAUGGCCGGGAAAGCUGGCGGAAACGCCGGCCCCUCUUCGGAGCUCGGUCACAGGUGCUGCAUGGCUGUCGU